GCCUGAGUGGCUCAGUGGUUGAGUGCCUGCCUUAAACUCAGGUCGUGAUCCUGGGUCCAGGGAUCAAGUCCCACAUCGGGCU
rnacentral:tRNA from 1 species